GACGAACGCUGGCGGCGUGCCUCACACCCGCAAGUAGAGCGAAGUGAUUACUACGGUUCGAACUUCGCGGCGGACGGGUGAGUAACGCGUGGACAGUCUACCCUGCAGAUUGGGACAACACCUCGAAAGGGGUGCUAAUACCGGAUAAUGUCGAGAAGCGCCACCGCUUUUCGAAGAAAGGAGAGAAUCCGCUAUAGGAGGAGUCCGCGUCCAAUUAGCUAGUUGGUGAGGGUAACGGCCCACCAAGGCGACGAUGGGUAGCCGGCCUGAGAGGGUGAACGGCCACACUGGAACUGAGACACGGUCCAGACUCCUACGGGAGGCAGCAGUGGGGAAUAUUGUGCAAUGGGGGAAACCCUGACACGGCAACGCCGCGUGAGCGAAGGAGGCCUUCGGGUUGUAAAGCUCAAUAGUAUGGGAAGAUAAUGACGGUACCAUACGAAAGCCCCGGCUAACUACGUGCCAGCAGCCGCCGUAAAAC
rnacentral:rRNA from 1 species